ACAACAUUCGGACCGUCGGUCUACCGAGCAAUAUCACCCGCUCGGUGGAAGUUUUUUUUUUAAUUGC
rnacentral:pre_miRNA from 1 species